rnacentral:misc_RNA from 1 species
AAAUCUCACUAUUCUUAAUUUUUGUUGAGAAUAAGUGGACUUGGAUUUGCGAUAUGAGUCCUAUGGGUCCAUAUUGCUAAUCUGAAAUGGAUUUCAUGAAGCUCAAAAUGCUUUCAAUCUUUGCUUAAUAGUUUUGCUUUGUCAAAUCUUUUGCAUCGAUUAAAAAGCGAAAAAGUGGAUUGAUUUUACGAAAAAUUAAACCUCAUU